rnacentral:rRNA from 1 species
UACAGAGGGUGCGAGCGUUGUCCGGAAUCACUGGGCGUAAAGGGCGCGUAGGCGGCUUAUCAAGUCAGGCGUGAAAUUCCCGGGCUCAACCUGGGGGCUGCGCUUGAUACUGAUUGGCUUGAAUUCGGGAGAGGGAUGCGGAAUUCCAGGUGUAGCGGUGAAAUGCGUAGAUAUCUGGAGGAACACCGGUGGCGAAGGCGGGUCUCUGGGCCGAUACUGACGCUGAGGAGCGAAAGCGUGGGGGAGCGAACAGG